rnacentral:ncRNA from 2 species
CAGGAACAAAGCCAAACCCGUUGCGAGGCGGGGACGGAAAGCUGCGGGUCUCCACUGCAAGCGGAGGUAGCCGGGUUGCUCCA